ACAACGCGACAAUGCGAUACGACGCUCGACAAUGCGAAGUGACACUCGACAUCGCGAAGCGACAUUUUUAAAAUGUCGAGUAAAUGUCGCGUUAUUUUUAUGAUUUUUACACCGCGACGCUCAACAUUGCGAAGCGACACUCGACAAUGCGAAGCGACACUCGACAACGCGAAGCGAUACUCGACAACGCGAAGCGACACUCGACAAUGCGAAACGACAUUUGGAAUAAUAUCGUAUCGCAUUGUCGUGCGUCUACCGGUGCUUGGUCAAAAUUUACUAACUCACCGACAAACGGUGCGAUCUUGGAAGACAGAGACAUUUGGAUUGCAAACUACUAUUUUUGCUUGAUUUAAUACACCCAUGCACGAAUCUCCGCCUACUAAUGAAUAUUUAUAAGUACUUUCAAUAGGAGCGUACAUUCAAUGCGUGCGAUUUAAUGCCACUUGUAUAACACGUGAGAUAACAUGUCAUCGUCAGAAGGUAAGACUUUUGUAUUUCUUAGCUUGACUCCUGUCGCUGAUAACUUCAAAGAAAAAUACCAUUUUGCCGCAGCUGGAUGCUUAACUAACAGAACAUUUACUAGAACUAAAACGGAGGCUGAAAGUGAAAAGCGCUAAGCUCGCGCCUAACUAUGGGGAGAGAUAAUAUCCUGGAUAUUGUGUACAUGUUCUUGAUUACUCGUUACUGAGAAACAACUCUACUGUAGGCCUACCAUCCAAUAUUUUGAUAGUUUCAUAAUUGUGUGACAAAAAAACUGAAAAAUGAAUAGAAGUCUCCUGAUACUUUAUAAAGUUGUAACAUAAUUACCUCCCUUUGAUUAGUUUCAGACGAAAUCAUGAUAGAUACCUCUUCUUUACAGACUUGUUCAAAUGGAGAAGAAUUUGACAGCCCCUUAGGGGAAAUUCUCAUCCAAAUUGGUUUGGGACAUCUCAGAAAGAACUUUAAAGAAAAUCUGAUCACCUGAGCAUAAUGUGAGGUAUUGUGAUGGCCCACAGUCCGUCGUCCGUCAUCGACAAUUUAUUCAAACAACAUCUCCUAACCACAUGGCCAAUUACAACUAAACUUUACAGGAAUGUUCCUUAGGUGAUCUCCUUUCAAAGUUGUUCAAAAAAUUAAAUUCCAUGAAAAAUUCUGGUUGCCAUGUCAACAAAUACGAAAAACUUUAAAAAUCUUCUUGUCAGAAACUAUUUGACCUAGAGCUUAGAUACUUCUAAAGUGUGUAGCAUCCUCUAUUGGACCUCUAUCAAGAUUGUUCAAAUUAUAGCCCCAGGGUCAAUAUUGGCCACACCCAGAGGGUCACUUGAUUUUACAUAGACUUAUAUAGGAAAAUCUUUAAAAAUUUUCUUGUCAGAAACUGUUUGGCCUAGAGCUUAGAUAUUUGGUGUUUAGCAUCCUCUAGAGGACUUCUACCAAGAUUGUUCAAAUUAUAGCACCAGGGUCAGUAUUGGCCCCGCCCGGGGGUCACUUGAUUUUACAUAGACUUGUAUAGGAAAAUCUUAAAAAAUCUUCUUGUCAGAAACUAUUUGGUCUAGAGCUUAGAUAUUUGGUGUGUAGCAU